CCUACGGGAGGCUGCAGUGAGGAAUAUUGGUCAAUGGCCGGAAGGCUGAACCAGCCAUGCCGCGUGAAGGUCAGUGCCCUAUGGGCGUUAAACUUCUUUUGUGCGGGAGCAAUAAUGGUCACGUGUGGCCAGACGAGAGUACCGUACGAAUAAGCAUCGGCUAACUCCGUGCAAGCAGCCGCGGUAAUACGGGGGAUGCAAGCGUUAUCCGGAUUUAUUGGGUUUAAAGGGUGCGUAGGCUGUGAGGUAAGUCAGCGGUGAAAUGCCCCGGCUCAACGGGGUGAAGUGCCAUUGAUACUGCCUUGCUGGAAUGCGGAUGACGUAGGAGGAAUGUGUGGUGUAGCGGUGAAAUGCAUAGAUAUCACACAGAACACCGAUUGCGAAGGCAUCUCACGAAUCCGCGAUUGACGCUGAUGCACGAAAGCGUGGGUAUCAAACAGGAUUAGAUACCCUUGUAGUC
rnacentral:rRNA from 1 species